GGCCGCACUCGGCCAGACCCCGCGCCCGGAGGGCGUGUGCGGUGGAGCCGGUAGCGGCGGCGACCGAGGCUCGAGCUGAAGUCUGAAUGAGCCUGGGAUCGGUUAAUCAGUCAGGUGCGGCGGCAGGGGCAUGGCUCCCAGGGGCCUCCCAGGAGACUCGGUAGCGAGACGGGCCGCCCCACUAGUUGAACCUACAGCCGAGGUAGUGUAGGAGGGUACCGUAGGCCCCCCGCCACCGAGGGGAGGGGACGCCGCUGAACUACUAGGGUGACAAUGGGAGCCCUGGCUUUGCUCGCAGUCGCCUUCGCGGCUGUAGAGUAGGCUCCCGAGGUGACUUCCUUGGACCUAAGCGUCCCUGCGGAAAACCGGGGUUUCCGUAGACGGAACCUGGCUCUAGCCAGAAACGCCUAGAUGGCCCGUGCUGUCGGAUCUCCCCUGGCUGCUAAAAGGGACCUGGGAAGUCAGAGCAGUCAACUGCAAGCUGCUCCAGGUGAUUCUGAGAAGCUUCCCCCACCCCUACACGUGCCUUUUCCAAGCCUCUGCUUCAGGUUUUCGGCCAAUUCCUUCAACACAGGGUCCCGAUAUCUAUUCCACAUGAUGUCAUUUUGCGUUCAGAUGUUCUUAUAUAAGAACCAGAGAGUAAUAAUGGGAUUUAAAGUUAGUGACAAAUUGCAAACAUGAUGUUUCACAUAUUGUUUGCUUCAAAAAUCUAUGCAGGCUUCUAUGUAACAUUUACAGAUUGCCUAAUGAGGCUUCACUUUCAAUGACAAUUCUAGUAGCAAACUCUACCACCAUUAUAGUUUUUUUCUCCGUAUAAUUCUUAAAGAGCUACAUUAAGUAAACAAGAAACUCCUUUUAUUUCUAUAAUCAUUUCAAUAAUGUCAGUAAAUCAUGCCAGUUCCUACCGUAGCCAUUUUGUCUAACUCAAUUUUAUGAAAUACAGAAUGUCACUUUCUUCAGUUGGCAUGAAUUAACAGCCCCUCCACAGAGAGAGAGAGAGAGAGAGAGAGAGAGAGAGAGAGAGAGAGAGAGAGAGAGACAGUAGCUGAUAAAAUAUUGAUGUUUUCAUGCUACUGGUACAAAACAAAUAAAAUUUAAGAAGCUUGUGCUGACACUUGUUUAGUAAUCCAAACUUCAAAAUAUACACAAAAAUUUUUAAAGAAAUUUAAUUACACAAGUUAUGUUAUCAAAAUAUUACUAUUAAUAAUAACACAAAUUUUAUCAAGCAAGGUGCUAAAUAAUCACUUUUUGUUUUAUUCCAGCUUCAUACUAGCUCUACUAUUAGCCACAUUUUACAGCUGAGACUUUAGCUCUCACAUUCACUUCCUAUUCCCUAGAUAUUACUCAGUUACAUAAAUGUUAAAUAAAUUAGUGAAUAGUGCCUUAAAAGGUCAAAUUUAUCUGAGAUCAUGAUGCAUGAUUAUAACAGCAAGUUCAUUCCAGAAUCUCAACUUUGAAAAUGAGUGUCUUAAAUGAGCAAUUAUAGUGAAAGAGAGGUCCACUGAAGAUCUACUGGAUGCAUUUCAUCAAACUUAACCACGAAGAAGGCUGAGACUCACCGUGCAUUGUCCUAAUCUAUACCUAACCAGAAAUGAUUGGGUCUAUAUAGCCCAGACAGAUGUGAAUGUCACUCCAUAAUCAAAGUUGGCCUUGAAUUCUUCAGCUCUCCUACCUCAGACUCUCAAGUGCUGGGAAUACAGAUAUAAUGUGAGCAGCUGCUUAAAGCUCCUGCUGCCCUGACCUCCCUGCCAUGACAGAUUCAUUAGACCUUGAACUAAUGUUGAAUGUACUAAUGUUGAACUGUGAGUCUCUGCAUCCGUUCCACCAGUUGCUGAGUGAAGCCUCUGUGAUGACUAUUGAGCUAGGCACCAAUCUGAACAAAUGGUGCUGGCAAAACUGGAUAUCAACAUGUAGAAGGCUGCAAAUAGAUCCAUAUCUAUCACCGUGCACAAAACUUAAGUCCAAGUGGAUCAAGGACCUCAACAUAAAUCCAGCUACUCUGAACCUGCUAGAAGAGAAAGUAGGAAGUAGUCUUGAACGCAUUGGCAUAGGAGACCACUUCCUAAAUAGAACACCAGUAGCACAGACUCUGAGAGAAACAAUCAAUCAAUGGGACCUCUUGAAACUGAGAAGCUUUUGUAGAGCAAAGGAUAUGGUCAACAAGGCAAAGCGACAGCCUACAGAAUGGGAAAAGAUCUUCACCAACCCACAUCUGACAGAAGACUGAUAUCCAGAAUACAUAAGGAACUCAAGAAAUUAGACAUCAAAAUGCCCAACAGUCCAAUUAAGAAAUGGGCUAUAGAACUAAUCAGAGAAUUCUCAACAGAGGAAACUCAAAUGGCCGAAAGACAUUUAAGGAAUUGCUCAACAUCCCUAAUCAUCAGGGAAAUGCAAAUCAAAACAACUCUGAGAUACCACCUUAUGCCUGUCAGAAUGGCUAAGAUCAAAAACACUGAAGACACCUUAUGCUGGAGAGGAUGUGGAGCUAGGGGAACUCUCCUCCACUGCUGGUGGGAAUGCAAGCUUGUACAACCACUUUGGAAUUCAAUAUGGCGCUUUCUUAGAAAAUUGGGAAUCCAUCUCCCCCAAGAUCCAGCUAUACCACUCUUGGGCAUAUACCCAAGGAAUGCUCAACCACACCAUAAGAGCACUUGUUCAGCUAUGUUCAUAUCAGCUAUGUUCCUGGUCUAUUUGAUAUUUGUAAUAGCCAGAACAUGGAAACAACCUACAUGCCCUUCAACUGAAGAAUGGAUAAACAAAAUGUGGUACAUAUACACAAUGGAAUACUACUCAGCAGAGAAAAACAAUGACAUCAUGAGGUUUGCAGACAAAUGGAUGGAUCUAGAAAAAAUCAUCCUGAGUGAGGUAACCCAGACUCAGAAAGACAAACAUGGUAUGUACUCACUCAUAGCAGGAUACUAGACAUGAAACAAGGAUGACUUGUCUGCUACUCACAUCACCAGGGAGGCUACCUGGAAAACAGGACCCCAAGAAAGACACAGGGAUCGCCCAAUGACAGAGAAAUGGAAUGAGAUCUACUUGAACAGCCUGGACAUGAGUGGGGGUAGUGAAAGGCGAGGGUCGAGGGAAAGAGAGCUUGGGGGAGCAGGAGAUCCCAGCUGGAUCAACAACAGAGAGGGAGAACAAGGAAUAGGAGACCAUGGUAAAUGAAGACCACAUGAGAAUAGGAAGAAGCAAAGUGCUAGAGAGGCCCACAGAAAUCCACAAAGAUACCCACACAACAGAAUGCUGGCAAUGGUCGAGAGACAGCCCGAACUGACCUACUCUGGUGAUGGGAUGGCCAAACACCCUAAUUGUUGUGCUAGAAACCUCAUCCAACUACUGAGGGAUCUGGAUGCAGAGAUCCGUGACUAGGCCCUGGGUGGAUCUCUGGGAGUCCAAUUAGCGAGAAUGAGGAGGGUUUAUAUGAGUGAGAAUUGUUGAGACCAAGGUUGGAUAAAGCACAGGGACAAAUAGCCAAAUGAAUGGAAACACAUGAACUAUGAACCAAGGGCUGAGGGGUCCCCACUGGAUCAGGCCCUCUGAAUGGGUGAGACAGUUGAUUGGCUUGAUCUGUUUGGGAGGCAUCCAGGCAGUGGGACCAGGUCCUGUGCUCAUUGCAUGAGUUGGCUGUUUGAAACCUGGUGCCUAUGCAGGAUUGUUUGGCUCGGCCUGGGAGGAGGGGACUAGACCUACCUGGACUGAGUCUACCAGGUUGACCUCAGUCUGUGGGGAAG